UGCAGUCGAACGGACCUUGAUUCUUCGGAAUCUUGGUUAGUGGCGCACGGGUGCGUAACGCGUAUGCAACCUACCUUCCACUGGGGGAUAGCCCGUCGAAAGACGGAUUAAUACCGCAUAUGACCACAGGAGGGCAUCCGAUUGUGGUAAAAGCUGAGGCGGUGGAAGAUGGGCAUGCGUGCCAUUAGCUAGUUGGCGGGGUAAAGGCCCACCAAGGCGACGAUGGCUAGGGGUUCUGAGAGGAUGGUCCCCCACACUGGUACUGAGACACGGACCAGACUCCUACGGGAGGCAGCAGUAGGGAAUAUUGGGCAAUGGCCGAGAGGCUGACCCAGCCAUGCCGCGUGCAGGAAGAAGGCCUUCUGGGUUGUAAACUGCUUUUAUCGGGGAAGAAAACGCCUUUGCGAAGGUAACUGACGGUACCCGAUGAAUAAGCACCGGCUAACUCCGUGCCAGCAGCCGCGGUAAUACGGAGGGUGCAAGCGUUGUCCGGAUUUAUUGGGUUUAAAGGGUGCGUAGGCGGCCCGUUAAGUCAGCGGUGAAAUCCCAGGGCUCAACCCUGGAACUGCCGUUGAUACUGGCGGGCUUGAGUUCGGUCGAGGCGGGCGGAACUGGUGGUGUAGCGGUGAAAUGCAUAGAUACCACCAAGAACCCCGAUUGCGAA
rnacentral:rRNA from 1 species